UUAUGUAGGUACAUGUUUAUAUAUUUACAGCCACUGAACACAGUCGGAAGGGGUUAAGUGCUAAAGCAGGAACAACAUAUAAAAUACCCAGCAUCACUGAACCUGGGGUAAUGGAACCGAACAAAACCACUGCUUCAGUACCAGAUCAGUACGAACAUUUAGAAAUGUGUUCUGGACACACGGAACGGGCAUACGACCAACUUUCAGGACCAAAGAAUGUAUAUGGCAAUGUAUUAAGUGCCUAGGGAAAAGCAUGGCUCUGUUGAAAAUGAGCAGUAUCCAGAAAAAACAACUUAACUCGCUGAUGGCCUCCUGUAGACAAUUCAGAGUCCAUUAUUUUAUUUUUUACAAUAUUUGUGUUGUUUGUCAUCUGUUUUGGUCGUGUACAUUAGUAAUGUUGUAGAAACAAGUCCAGUAGACAAAAAUCAAAUAUAGCCCCUUAUAUAAAACUUUGCCUCUUAAUGUUCCUAAAAUCGUGACCAUGUUUUGAUUAUGAAUAAGUAAUGUAUUUUACAUAAAUCUGGGACUUAAACAUCCGGAAAUUCAGAUCAGAUAAAUGCACAGAGUUAUCAAUUUGAGAUCAACGGUGAGAUUCGUUUAAAACAGGAGGGUUUAAAAAAUUUAUAUUUAAGUUAUUAAAUAAAAACGGGUAUGCUCACAAAUUGUCUUAUUUUUAGACUCUCAGAAAAAGGGGGAUAAAAAGGAUAAGUAAUGUAUUGCUAUGUUUUAGGGCAUUAUUUCUUGUAAAAAAAUACUAUUUAUUGAAUGAAAAUGUAAAUGUAUUAAACGGUGUACAUAGUAUGAAGGUAACAUAACCAUAUCUGUGUACAAGUGUUAUUUAUUAAUGAAGGAAAGAAAUCAUUUCAAUAACUGCUUAACACA